ACUCAGCUGCCUCUCUCACCUCACCCUCACUCUCAUCCGCCCCUUAUGGUCUCACCCAGUCACCCUCACUCUCACUCUCAUUCACUCACUGACCCACCCUCAUCCUCACUCUCAUCAUGUGGUGGUUGCUGCUUGUCAUGGAGGAGCACAGAUCUCGUGGUGGUUGCUGUUUGUCACGGAGGAGCACGAGAUUGUUUGAUCAGAGAGAGAUAUGAUGAUCGAAGGAGCUCUUGGUCAUGUUGAGGUCAGACGAAACCCAGAGGUGGGAUUGAUGGCUGAAACCUCCACCGUUGGAACUUUGAUUUGAGUUGGUCCUAGAACUCAUCUCUGAAGCAGUUGGGACCCUUGUCGGCAUUGUUGUUCUACUCCUACAGAUAAUACACGAUCUUCACCAAAUAAUCUCAAUAACACAUGAAGGAUUUCAGCAAGUUGUGCUGGUCCUAAAACUCAUUGGUAAAGUAGUUGGGUCCCGUGUCAGCCUUGUUGUUCUACUCCUACGGUUGAUACGUAUAUGCAGAAGGAUUUGGUCCAUUUUGACUGAAAGACAACCUGUUGUUGUUGCUAAUGACCACCGGAACGAAGUCCCACUUGCUGAUAUUAACCAUGGCUAGAAUGAUAUCCC